UGGGGAAUCUUGCGCAAUGCGCGAAAGCGUGACGCAGCAACGCCGCGUGAGGGAAGACGGCCUUCGGGUUGUAAACCUCUUUCAGGAGGGACGAAGGUCAGGCCGUUAAUAGCGGUCCUGACUGACGGUACCUCCAGAAGAAGCCCCGGCUAACUACGUGCCAGCAGCCGCGGUAAUACGUAGGGGGCAAGCGUUGUCCGGAAUUAUUGGGCGUAAAGAGCGCGUAGGCGGUCCGAUAAGUCGGCUGUGAAAGUCCAGGGCUCAACCCUGGAAAGCCGGCCGAUACUGUCGGACUAGAGUCCGGAAGAGGCGAGUGGAAUUCCCGGUGUAGCGGUGAAAUGCGCAGAUAUCGGGAGGAACACCAAUGGCGAAGGCAGCUCGCUGGGACGGUACUGACGCUGAGGCGCGAAAGCGUGGGGAGCAAACAG
rnacentral:rRNA from 1 species